rnacentral:lncRNA from 1 species
CGGGUUUCAUCACAACAGGUUUAUAUAUAUAUAUGUUUGACAAUGUUUUUGAACAAAAUAUGAAAUGCUACACAGCCAAAAUCCUAAUUAAUAUUCAUAAUAUUAGACAAUAUUUUACAUCAAUUGAUAACUCUAACUCAAAAGAUACAUCAUUAUAUCAGGGGUCAACUCAUAGAAAACAAUCUUCUGGCAAGACUUAUGGAAGUUCUACAUCCUCAGAUACCUUUGAAUGUCUAUUUCAAUUCGCAAAUUACGUUUACAGAUUAUCCUAAAGUCUAGAAGAUCUUUUGGUUUCAGCGCAUGAGCCUUGCAAAAAUUAUGUCAUCCCAAUCCAAAUUUGAUAUCAAAAGGAUUAGUAGGGCUUUGAUGGGCUUGGAAUAGGAAGGUGUUCCCCCAUGGCAAAGGGGACCUAUUAUAGUCCAAAUGGCGCCAUCUUCGAAGGUCUUCAAUAUUUCUGCGAAGUCCAUUGACAUAUACUGCAGGCGUCAUUCCAAAACAAAAUUAUAAGUCUAAUUGCCAACAAGUUAAAUUAAGUGAACCAUACAGGAUAGACUGAUAUUAGUGUUGUGCAAUUUUGCCAAUCUGUUGGCUCUCAUAUCACUUGGCUGAAGUUCUUUGGAGUAAGUGUGGAAAAUCAUGUCUCUAAAAUAGAACACCAAAUUUAAACACAAUGUAAUUGUCAGAUAAUUGAUUUUUAGUAUUGUGUUUGUUGAAAGGAAUAACAUGUGCCAACCUGUUCAAGUAAAAGGUAUCAAAUACGGAAUAAGAAUCAUGUUACCUCAUGUGAUUAUUCAUUUCCACAAGAUCAGCUGUGUUAGGGCUUACUACUUCUUCAACAUCUGUUGACUGAUUAGAAUCAUCGCUAAUUGUGGUCACUUCAGGUUGUUCAUCCUCUUGUGAAUACUUCAUAUUAAAAUUCACUUCAUUUUUAUCAAGUGUGUGAGAGGUCAGUUGGUCUCUCACAUAGAAAUUUAGGUUUGGUGUCAAGGCUAACUCAAAGGUUAUCAUAUCCCACAGGAAAAGAUAAAAGAGACAAAAGCCUACAUACCAAAGCUUAACUGUUACAUCUCUUUCUGAAUGAUAAAAGGCUCUAAUACUCUUAAUGUGUCUUCUUCUAUAACUCUAUUCAUAUGAUUACUGGCUAAUUGUAACUUCCGGCAGUUGUCACAGUGAUCAAUUGCGAAACAUAUAUUAACAAAUUCGUUGCCCUAUGUUUCUAAGAAGUGUUUGGGAAAAUGCCUCUCACCCUAACAUUAUAUGAACAUAUUUUACUCGCGAUGAAAACUCAAAAUUUAAGUCUAUUUAAUAUAAAAUUACGAAAAAAUGUACUUACCUUUCCUUUCACGAGACAAAACUUAAUCAUUCUGCCAUUAUUUGAAGGCCAACUAUUCAUUGUUGCUAUAAAUCUUCUGUGUUAUCAAAAAGGUAAACAAUAUUAGAUUGUACUGUUUUGAUUUAGUAAGUACCCUUUUUUACAAAAGGUAAUCCAAUUGUCAAGAAGAUGCACAAAUUGAGUUUUGAAACAAAUUCUCUUCGUGGUAAGUAGGGCUGACAAUGGGUAGGGUAGGGUAGGGUUUGGACCUACCCUAACCCUACCCGCGGGUUGAAAAUUAUUAAAACUCUACCCUACCCUACUCGCGGGUUGAAAAUCUCUCAACCCUAACCCUACCCGCACCUUAAAGUUCUAAACCCUACCCUACCCGCAGAAAUAUCAAAUUUUUUCAAAGUAAAUAUAAAAUUCAAUCAUUUCAAAUUUUAUACAUAUUAAUAAUAUAAAAAAAUAAAAAAUUAAUGCUCUAAAUUACUAAAUUAACUAAUUAGUUUAGUGGUUGUUCACUUAUUGUAAGUUAUUACAUAAGGAAAGUUGUGGGUUCAACUCUCACUUCCUUCACUAUAUAUCUAAUUUUUAUAAAAUAUGUGUUAUAUAUGAGGUGCGGGUAGGGUAGGGUACACCCUAAACCCGUACCCUACCCUACCCGCAGGCAUACCCGGACCGUACCCUAUUCUACCCGCAGCGGGUCGGGUAGCCUACCUUACCCGAACAGGUUGGACCGGGUUGGAUACUCGCGGGUAGGGUAUGAAUUGCCAGCCCUAGUGGUAAGGGUAACGUGCUUUUCGAUUUAUACCCAUAGAACAAAUAUUCAAACAUAAUAAAGAAAUUUAAAUACAAGUAACCUACUUUGCAGUAUAAACCUCUGAAAAAAUACAACACAUUGAAACCAUGGGCCGUGAAAAUACUCUUGAAAUCUUAGUUCAACUCUGAUUGACAGAUUCAUAGUUGAAUCUAGACGAACGAUUUUCACCUAGGAGAUUCAACAACGAAACUAUGGAUGGGUAGAAUAUACGAUCUCUGUCAAGUUGAAUAUAUCACACAUCGAUUUUUAAGGAACACACAUGCAUGUGUCGAAUAGCAUACAACAAAGAAUAUAGAAUGAUGAUAGUAAUUUGAUUGAAGUUUUUGUAC